rnacentral:rRNA from 1 species
AUUGAACGCUGGCGGCAUGCCUUACACAUGCAAGUCGAACGGCAGCAUGGGUGCUUGCACCUGAUGGCGAGUGGCGAACGGGUGAGUAAUGCAUCGGAACGUGCCCUGAAGUGGGGGAUAACGUAGCGAAAGUUACGCUAAUACCGCAUAUUCUGUGAGCAGGAAAGCAGGGGAUCGCAAGACCUUGCGCUUUAGGAGCGGCCGAUGUCGGAUUAGCUAGUUGGUGAGGUAAAGGCUCACCAAGGCGACGAUCCGUAGCGGGUAUGAGAGGAUGAUCCGCCACACUGGGACUGAGACACGGCCCAGACUCCUACGGGAGGCGGCAGUGGGGAAUUUUGGACAAUGGGGGCAACCCUGAUCCAGCCAUGCCGCGUGAGUGAAGAAGGCCUUCGGGUUGUAAAGCUCUUUCGGCGGGGAAGAAAUUGCUUCGGCUAAUACCCGGAGUAGAUGACGGUACCGCAUAAGAAGCACCGGCUAACUACGUGCCAGCCGCCGCCGUAACAC